UAGGUGUAGGAGGUAUCGACCCCUUCUGUUCCGGAGUUAACGCAAUAAGUACCCCGCCUGGGGAGUACGACCGCAAGGUUGAAACUCAAAGGAAUUGACGGGGGCCCGCACAAGCGGUGGAGUAUGUGGUUUAAUUCGACGCAACGCGAAGAACCUUACCAGGUCUUGACAUUGAUGGACAGAACCAGAGAUGGUUCCUCUUCUUCGGAAGCCAGAAAACAGGUGGUGCACGGUUGUCGUCAGCUCGUGUCGUGAGAUGUUGGGUUAGGUCCCGCAACGAGCGCAACCCCUAUCUUAUGUUGCCAGCACUUUGGGUGGGAACUCAUGAGAGACUGCCGCAGACAAUGCGGAGGAAGGCGGGGAUGACGUCAAAUCAUCAUGCCCCUUAUGACCUGGGCUACACACGUACUACAAUGGGAGUUAAUAGACGGAAGCAAUACCGCGAGGUGGAGCAAACCCGAGAAACACUCUCUCAGUUCGGAUCGUAGGCUGCAACUCGCCUACGUGAAGUCGGAAUCGCUAGUAAUCGCAGGUCGGCAUACUGCGGUGAAUACGUUCCCGGGCCUUGUACUCACCGCCCGUCACUCACCGCCCGUGCACUCACCGCCCGUC
rnacentral:rRNA from 1 species